rnacentral:rRNA from 1 species
GAUGAACGCUGGCGGCGUGCCUAAUACAUGCAAGUCGAGCGAACAGAGGAGGAGUUUGUUCCCUUGACGUUUUGCGCGGGCGUGUGUGUAACACGUGUAUCAUCUAUCUAUAAGACUGGUAUAACUUCGGGAAACUAGAUAUAACACCGGAUAAUAUAUUGAUCCACAUCGUUUGAUAGUGAAAUGCGGUUGCACUACUACCAGUUGAUGCUGCGGCGCCGCAUUUGCUAGUUGGUAAGGUAACGGCUUACCAAGGCGACGAUUAGCAGCCGACCUGGGAGGGUGUUCGGCAACACUGGAACUGAGACACGCUCCAGACUCCUACGGAAGGCAGCAGUAGGAAACCUUCCGAAAUGGGCGAAAGCCUGACGGAGAAACGCGGCGUGGGUGAUGAAGGUUUCCGGAUCUUAAACCUCUGUUAAUAGGGAAGAACAAAUGUGUAAGUAACUAUGCACGUCUUGACGGUACCUAAUCAGAAAGCCACGGCUAACUACGUG